UGGAGGAGAGAAGAUGGCGGAAGCGGAGUGAGUGACUAGAUGAUUUAAGGACCAUAGUACAGCUAUGGAUACUGAACCAAACCCGGGAACAUCUUCUGUGUCAACAACAACCAGCAGUACCACCACCACCACCAUCACCACUUCCUCCUCUCGAAUGCAGCAGCCACAGAUCUCUGUCUACAGUGGUUCAGACCGACAUGCUGUACAGGCAUUGCAUCGGCCCCCCAGCUCAGCUGCUCAGUACCUUCAGCAAAUGUAUGCAGCCCAACAACAGCACUUGAUGCUGCAUACUGCAGCUCUUCAGCAGCAGCAUUUAAGCAGCUCCCAGCUUCAGAGCCUUGCUGCUGUUCAGGCAAGUUUGUCCAGUGGAAGACCAUCUACAUCUCCCACAGGAAGUGUCACACAGCAGUCAAGUAUGUCCCAAACGUCUAUCAACCUCUCCACUUCUCCUACACCUGCACAGUUAAUAAGCCGUUCCCAGGCUUCCAGUUCUACCAGCGGCAGUAUUACCCAACAGACUAUGUUACUAGGGAGUACUUCCCCUACCCUAACGGCAAGCCAAGCUCAAAUGUAUCUCCGAGCUCAAAUGGUAAGAUAUGAGCUACCAAAUUUUUUCAGUGUUUAAGGACUUGAGAGAUCAAAAUGUUUCUUGAUUUGAUACAAUAAGAGGUAUUUUUAAUAUUUAAGAAAUGUUUAAUUGUGUGUGUGUGCAUGCGGGCGUGCCUUCAGCUCUUGUACAUUUAUGUCAUGAAAGAUUCUACUUUUAAUUAAUAGGUCUUCUUGGUAUCAAAUAGUAAUUAUUACAUUGAGAAUCUAAUAGAGAUUCAGUAACGUAAGAGUGAUUAUUUUUUAAUAUCAAAUUCAUCGAAAACCUUUUUUUCAUAUUUUAACAUCUCUGAAAUUUGGAUGCAUUUUAUAACUGAUGGCAUCUUGGUACUUACAGUGGUCCAUAAAAUCAUUGCCUGUUUUUGUCAACUUAGAUUUGGUGAAAUAGAGAUGUUAAAAAAACUUUGUUGUUAAUAAUUUGUAUCCUAGGAUUUUCUGAAUUCUAUAUUGGAGUUCGGGAUAGUCUCCCAGAUGAUUCUUAACUUUGGUUUUUCCCAUCUCAAAUUCUGCAAGGUUAUUUGUAUUCUUGUGUUCAUUUUGAUAUUUUAUGAAUAUAGGAAUGUUAAUUUGGUUAUUCUGUAUUUGAGUAUCUACAGAUUUUCUAAUUUAAUUGUUGAGCUUCUUUAAGGAAUAUAGAAAUUGGUUGACAUGUAUUUUAUUUGAUGUCUUUACAAGAAGCUAGACAAAAGCGUUGUCCCUAAUAUAUAUUUAUAUUCUUUUUUGUCCAGUGGACUGAAUAUAUAUCUGGAUCUCCAGUUUUUGUUGUUGUUGUUGUUGUUUUUUGAGGUGAAGUCUCACUCUGUCACCCAGGCUAGAGUGCAGUGGCACGAUCUCUGCUCACUGCAACCUCUGCCUCCCGGGUUCAAGUGAUUCUCCCACUUCAGCCUCCCAAGUAGCUGGGAUUACGGGUGCCCGCCACCACACCCAGCUAAUUUUUGUAUUUUUAGUAGAGACGGGGUUUCACCAUCUUGGCCUGGCUGGUCUCAAACUCCUGACCUUGUGAUCCACCUGCCUCACCUCCCAGAAUGCUGGGAUUACAGACAUGAACCACCACACCUGGCUUGGAUCUUCAGUUUUCUAUCUAAAAUUGCAAAGUUUCCAAUCAUUUAACUCAUACUAUGCUUUAAAAUUAGGUUGAACCAUUUGAGAUGGUUGCUAUUUGGCUAUUUUUGGACUCUAAAAUUAGCAGUUUCAUACGGGUCAAACUAAAUUGAAUGUCUUCUUUUUAGGUUUAGUCCUUUCAGGGUGUUGGUACUGGAAAUUACCUUUUCAGGAAAGUUAUACUGUUUGUCCCUUGGUGUCUAUGGUGGAUUGUUGCCAGGCCCCACCCUCUCUGUCCCCUAGAAUACCCAAAUCUGAGGAUGCUCAAGGCAUAGUAUUUGCAUAUAACCUAUGUAUAUCCUCCCAUAUACUUUACAUCAUCUUUACAUAUAUUUAGUAUAAUAUAAACAUCAUUUAAAUAACUGUUAUACUAUAUUGUUUAGGGAAUAAUGACAAGAGAAAAAUUUGUACAUGUUCAAUGCAGAUGCAGCUAUUUUUUUAAAUGAAUAUUGUUUUGAUCUAUAGUUGAAUGACGAAGCACAGAGCCUUACAUAGAUAUGGAGGGCUCAUCAUUGUACUUUGUUGUUGAAUUUACUUAGAUUUAGUGUACCAAAGAACUGAAGUUUAAAAGGUCAUUUAAUUGGUCGUUUAAUUUUUCUAAUUUUUUUGGAUCCACAUUUGGUUGAACAUUUUAAUUUAGAUAGCAAGAGGAACUGAAUAACCCUUGAUACAAUUUUGAAAUAAAGUAUUUACACAUUCUUUG
rnacentral:sRNA from 1 species